CACGUAGGGGCCAAGCGUUGUCCGGAUUUAUUGGGCGUAAAGAGCUCGUAGGCGGUUGGGUAAGUCGGGUGUGAAAACUCCAGCUCAACUUGGAGACGCCACCCGAUACUGCUCUGACUUGAGUUCGGUAGGGGAGUGGGGAAUUCCUGGUGUAGCGGUGAAAUGCGUAGAUAUUAGGAAGAACACCAGUGGCGAAGGCGGCUCACUGGCCCGGUACUGACGCUGAGGCGCGAAAGCGAUGGGGAGCAAA
rnacentral:rRNA from 1 species